rnacentral:lncRNA from 1 species
GAAGCCUUCAUUUAUAAGUGAUUGAUUACAACUGAAUCUAAUAAAGGCCAGAAAGUCAUUCCUGUGAGCCUGUGUGUAGUAAUAGCUGGGUCUUGCUUUCAUAGGUCAGCUCUUCCUCUAAGAAGGAAGAACAGGUCCUAGAGUUAGUGAUGUGAAGCCUUGAUUAUGCGGAUGCUGGUCUGGAGUGCAGCAGCACAGAUCUCAGCUUCUGCCGGGACACUGCUGCUAUAGAGGAUAUACAAAUAUAAACUUGGAACUUCUCUCCUCCUGUAUCAACAGUUUAGAAAAGACUUUGUUUGGGAUCAAAGGCACUUGAUGACAUUACUGCCAAAAGCAGAAGAACCUCUUGUGGGGCUGGUUUGUAUCUCCUAACCUGACCAACGCUGACCUUGUCUUCCCUUUCCGUGGCACUGAGAUGCAACACCAGUUUUUCCUUGGGCUGAAAACCAAGGGAUGAGGAAUCUGUGACUAGGAAGUGUGGGAUGGAUGCUCCACUGAGCACUUUCCAGCCAACGCAUCUGGUCACCUGAAUCAUCAGCAGUGUUUAUAACUAAAGAAACAAACAUCAGUGCUGUACCAAUUUCAAAUGCUGUUUAGCAGUUGUGAGGAGCAAGUCUCGUUUGUCAAAUAAGAAUGACAAAAAAAAAAAAAAAAGAGAGACAUUAUUUAAU